rnacentral:rRNA from 1 species
GCAUUCAGUUGCCAUCGGGUAAUGCCGGGCACUCUGGAAGGACUGCCAUCGACAAGAUGGAGGGAAGGUGGGGAUGGACGUCAAGUCAUCAUGGCCCUUAUGUCCAGGGCGACACACGUGCUACAAUGGCCGGCACAACGGGAAGCGAGUUCGCGAGGACGAGCGGAUCCCUACAAAGCCGGUCGCAGUUCGGAUUGAAGUCUGCAACUCGACUUCAUGAAGCUGGAAUCGCUAGUAAUCGUGGAUCAGCCAAGCCGCGGUGAAUACGUUCCCGGGCCUU